rnacentral:lncRNA from 1 species
GAAGGGGAUCCUGAACGGUAGAGGCCAAGCGAGAAUUCGGUUUGGUUUUUUUUUUUUUCCUAUUUUUUUUUCCAAAAAGAAAAGGGAGGGGGGUGUGAGUGGGUGCAUUUUUUAAAGCUGUCUUGAAUACCUAUUUAAAUGUGUGUUUUGGGGUGUUUUUUUUAGGGUUUUUUUUUUAAGCUGCCUGUGAUAUGUCCACUGGGCUGAGAUUGGAGGCCUCAGGCAGGAGCCCACCCAUAGUUCUCUUCCCUAUGACGACUUCCCCAGAUAGCAUUAGCCACCCUGGGGGGCAGGGGGGGAAGAAUCCGGCUGUGGGGUAUCCACCUCGCCCAAGUCUCCUUUUACUGAAAUAAAAUUUGAGGGGAAGAGAAAAAACUUACACGAGCACCGAAUUUCAAAUAAACGAAAAUGAGACAUG